UACGGAGGGUGCGAGCGUUGUCCGGAAUCACUGGGCGUAAAGGGCGCGUAGGUGGCCCGUUAAGUGGCUGGUGAAAUCCCGCGGCUCAACUGCGGGGCUGCCGGUCAGACUGGCGAGCUAGAGCACGGUAGGGGCAGAUGGAAUUCCCGGUGUAGCGGUGGAAUGCGUAGAGAUCGGGAAGAAUACCAGUGGCGAAGGCGUUCUGCUGGGCCGUUGCUGACGCUGAGGCGCGACAGCGUGGGGAGCAAACAGG
rnacentral:rRNA from 1 species